CCCUUAGAUGUUCUGGGCCGCACGCGUGCUACACUGAGUGGAUCAGCGGGUCAGGUUGCGCGAAAGUGUUUCCUAAUCUUUAAAUACGCUCGUGAUGGGGAUUGACGGUUGCAAUUUUCCGUCAUGAACGAGGAAUACCUUGUAAGCGCGGGUCAUCAUCCCGCGCUGAAUACGUCCCUGCCCUUUGUACACACCGCCCGUCGCUCCUACCGAUUGAGUGGUCCGGUGAGGCUUUGGGAUCUGAGCGGAAAGAGCGUUUCGCUGUUUCUGCCCGGAAAACUCAGUCGAACCUUAUCAUUUAGAGGAAGGAGAAGUCGUAACA
rnacentral:rRNA from 1 species